rnacentral:rRNA from 1 species
GUGCCAGCAGCCGCGGUAAUACGUAGGGCGCGAGCGUUGUCCGGAAUUAUUGGGCGUAAAGGGCUCGUAGGCGGUUUGUCGCGUCUAGCGUUUAAGGCUCGGGCUUAACCCGGGUUUGCGUUGGGUACGGGCAGGCUUGAGUGCGGUAGGGGUAACUGGAAUUCCUGGUGUAGCGGUGGAAUGCGCAGAUAUCAGGAGGAACACCGGUGGCGAAGGCGGGUUACUGGGCCGUUACUGACGCUGAGGAGCGAGAGCGUGGGGAGCGAACAGGAUUAGA